UGUGUGCAAACAGAGAAGUGACUCCAGUGAGUCUGAUCGCUGAUCAGAAAAAAUCAGAGAGGGUAAAGUUGAGGACAGAACAUAAAUGAUAAAUAAAUAUCCAUAGAUAGCAGCAUUUACAGAGCGGGCGGAUACUGAGCUAAACUAAAAUAUAAACUGAAUCAUUUCCUGCUGUCAUCUUAUAUCGAUCAAAUCUACAAUCAAUACUGUAAUCAGUUAAGAAUGGAUGGCGUUAAUCUGCUGCAGGAGGCUCAUGGGUGGUCUGAGAGGAAGAUUAUCUUCAUUUUAUCAGUUAUUAUAACUUCUCCAAACAGCAGAAACCACAGCGAUCCAUAGAACCAUGAGUCAGUCCAGACUAUAAGAAAAUGUAUUUUAGCUCAUUCUAAAUCACAGUAUUUAAACUUAAUAACCUCUAAAUUUAAAGAUGAUGUUAUUGAAUCAUUAGUUUUAAAACAUUUAAAUGUCCUUUAAUGAUGCUCUUACGAAGAUAUUCUGAUUAAUUUGUGCCAACAGCAGCUUCUAUCCGUCUGAUUGUGUGUAGCCUGGAAGCUGCAGACUGUAGUACAUGUGAGCCAGCAGGUGGCGCUGCAGCACUGAUCAUACCAGGAUGUAGAAGCUUCUCUGAGUAUUUAUUCUGUGUCCGAUCCUCAGUGUGUUUUGCAAAGCUGCAGGCGUGUAAAUCUCCGGAGUAGUUUAUUUUAAAUGACCAAAGUGUAAAAACGAGCCUGAGAACAUUUCUACCGUCGAACUGCCUUCCUGUCGCUGUGUGUGUGUGUGUGUGUGUGUGUGUGUGUGUGUGUGUGUGUGUGUGUGUGUGUGUGUGUGUGUGUGUGUGUGUGUGUGUGUGUGUGUGUGUGUGUGUGUGUGUGUGUGUGUGUGUGUGUGUGUAGCUGGACAGCAGCUUUAUUCCACCAGCACAACAACAUGUUUGUGUGUCUUUAGGUUUCUGUCGUUUUGCCAAAGAAUGUUUUUGCCUUAAAGUCUCUGCUGUUUUCAGUUGCUUCAUCCUGCAGCUGGUCGGAUUCUUUCAGCCUCCAAACACAAAACAGAAAACAGAAGCUGCUCCGAGCUCCUGCUGCAGCUCUUCACAUGUUCACCUAGACAUGAAGCUUCACCUUGGUGGGAGCCAAACUCAGCUUCACGUUCAACUGGAUCACGAUCAUUUCACAUAAAAUCAAAGUUCCUCCAGAAGCUCCUCAGAACAUCUGAUUCUUCAUUUUCAGUAACUUUAUCAACGAUCAGAGUUUUACCUUCAUAUUGGGAAUAUUUCCAGAGGUCCAAAUCCUUGAAGUCCAUAAAGGAGAACGUCCCCUGGAGAAAGUUCUAGAACCUGGAGAAAGUUCAAGAACUCUCUCCAAAAAAAAAAGUUCUAGAACUUUCUCCAGUUGUCGUAGGUCUACUCUAGAACUUUCUCCAGUUGUCGGUAGGUCUACUCUAGAACUUUCUCCAGUUGUCGGUAGGUCUACUCUAGAACUUUCUCCAGCUGUUGGUAGGUCUACUCUAGAACUUUCUCCAGGGGACGUUCUCCUUUCCUGCUUCCAGUCUUUAAGUUUAGUCUCAGAACAUUCCAGGUCCUUGAAGUCCAUAGAGGAGGGUCCAGAUUUAUCACUUUUUAAUGGACUUUUUCAGAACCUCAUCAGUGCAGCAGAUAGAACCAUGACAUUUAGGAGGAGAAACAUCUGAGUUCUGGUAAAAACUGACCCCAUAUCAGUUUAAAUCCAUCCUGGUGUCUCAGUCUGAACACUGAAUCUAUGUUUUGCUCAUUUUCCCUAUAACCAGCUUUGAGAAUCAAUACUAUGGGAUGUAUCGUAGUUUGAACAGCAGUUAAAUGAUGCAAAAUGAACGAAAAUAAAAAUCAACUAAAAUGUGACAAAAAACAACCAAAAUUUGAUACAAAAUGACCAAAAAUGAUUUAAAACAACUCAUGAAGAUGCCAAACAACCAAAAUGUUACACAAAAUGACCAAAAAUGAUUCAGAAUGACCACAAAAUAAUGUAAAACAACACAGUUUUAUCCAUCCAGGUGUCACAGUCUGAACACUGAAUGUGCUUCUUUUUCUUUCUCUAUAACCAGCUGUGAUCAUCAGUAUUAUGGGAUGUAUCCUCGUGUGAACAGCUUAGAGUCCUACAAACCAUCAUUGGUUCCCUGGAUGUGUUUCUGGUUUAAAACCAGCCAGUAAAUCCCUUAAACAGGAGAACAUGUGAGUCGUUGCAGUAUAGAAGUUCGUUAUUGCUGCUGUCUGUCCUCAGAAAACUGCUGCUGCUGCUUGUAGAAAUGAUCAUCUGUGGAGAAGCUUGAAGUUUCAUCGUCUGUAAAACAACCUGGAUAGCGUCCACUUCCUGUCUGUCUACCUGUGAUUCAGGUCGUCUGUGGAAAAUCGAAUGUAACCUUUCUGUCUCUGUGCCAAAAGUCUGUUUGCUUUUAAGAGUCAAUAAAUGUGACAUGUUUUUCUCAAUGAA